CUUUUUCAAGUAGAAAUUUUUUUGAAGUGCGGGGAAUCUACCUAAAGUAGCUUCUUCAAAAUUUCAUCAUCUUUUCAAAGAUAGAAAGCCGAAUCACUAACAAAGGAAUUUUCUUUCGGGAUGGUGAUACCUUUUUAAAUCUCAGACUUUUAAGUGUUGGAAAAGGGAAAUUGUGAUUUCACACCCUUCUUCCCUUUUCCUCUUUUGUAUCUUUCAGAAGGAGAAAAGUAAUGGUUCAAUCAAUAAGCUGUAGUUUUCAUCAGUAUACUAUGUGUGUUUUUUGAGGUUUCACAUAGGUAACUUUUGUUGUAGCUGUUUGAUUUACAUUUCUUGUUCCAGGCUUUCUGCUAUGAGAAAAAAUGUUCUGGCAAAGUGUUAUGGUGGUGAUAUUACAAGGAAGAAGAAGUUGUUGGAGAAACAGAAAGAAGGGAAGAAGAGAAUGAAACGAGUGGGAUCUGUCGAUAUACCCCAAGAAGCUUUCCAUGAGUUACUCAAGGUCUCAUGAAUACCAUCUUAAAUGCCUCCGAGAUUUUAGGUACAAAAGUUUAGGUAUCAUCAUAUACAAUGAUGGAUACCCUUGCAGCAGGUCAAAUGUAAGUUCCGCUGCACGAAAUACCGUUUUUUAGACGCAGUCCAUGCAUAGAAGACGAAGUUCGAAGGGUAAAAUCCCAACUGUAUGCUCAGUUUAUCCUUGGAGGCACAGAUGUUUGUUCUGCUCAAAGUAACCCCUUUUCAUGUACCAAGGAUGAGAUAAUUUAGCCCCCCUUGAAAUACCAUUUUUAUAAGCAAUUUGCCGAGUGUCAACUAUCAUAAAGAGAUUUUCACGGCCUUAUUUACCAUACAGACUGUACAAUUGGAACUCUAGCUCAGCAUGAAAUAACAGAUCAUUUUCAGGGCUCCAGGGCUUUGGUCAACUGGUAACGCAUAUGUAAGGUAGGCAAACGGUAUGUGUUCGAACCUUGUUGCUAACAAAAUCCCUGUAUUUAAGUGCAAAAGAGUAGAUAGAGGGGUAGAUCUAUUAUCUUUUGAGUUUUGAAUUGUGCACCACUAGUCCUUAGGAACUGCACUUUCAUGAGGGAAAAGGAACCUCCAAACAGUGGGAGUCAGAUGUAUAAUUUCUUUUAUGAUUGAAAAAUGACUUUAUUGCGA